UGAAAUUUACAGCAAUGCAAAUGUCACUCAAUAAAGGUGCAAAGCAAUAGUCCCUUGUCGGAAUGGUCAGAUGAUCAAUUCCAUGAUCACGAUAUAGAGUUGAAGGAACCAGAGUCUCAUAUGGCUCAUUUAGUGUUAUCACUCCUCGAACGCCAACCUCCUUCAAACGGGGAACAUCAGCAGGGAAUGGAACAGCACCUAACAAUAUAAACUCAUCAACCUUGUCCCACCAACGAAACUCCGUCUGAAGCUUAUUUCUAAAAACAUUGUAAAGCAAAGUCGGGUAGAAAAGUACACGAGCCCCAACUCCAACAACGAUCCUUUUCACAUCAGACCUAACAAUGCUCUGACUCUCGAAAUUACUAACAAUAACCCCUGAAUUCCCCUCUUCCCCACUCUGCAACUCCCCUUCCUUCAGUUCCUCAAUAUACAUAGCCUUAAAUAAAAAGCCCCUAAAAUCGAACUACAAUAAACAGAAUAACCAAAGAACACCAAUUAUCUCAAAUACAUAAACAAACCAGCAAUCUACACCCGUUUGCCGCAAAUACACAAAUUUUCAACCAACAAACAUGAUUAUACACAAACAAUUAACAUCCCCCAUCGCGAAAACCUAACAUUCAUUCCUAAACCAAACCCCAGUAAUGGAAAAAUCGGAGAA
rnacentral:misc_RNA from 1 species